rnacentral:rRNA from 1 species
UACAGGGGGUGCAAACGUUGCUCGGAAUUAUUGGGCGUAAAGCGCGCGUAGGCGGCCACUUAAGUCGGAUGUGAAAGCCCCUGGCUCAACUGGGGAAGUGCACCCGAAACUGAAUGGCUUGAAUGCAAAAGAGGGUCGCGGAAUUCCCGGUGUAGAGGUGAAAUUCGUAGAUAUCGGGAGGAACACCGGUGGCGAAGGCGGCGACCUGGGACGGUACUGACGCUGAGGCGCGAAAGCGUGGGGAGCGAACAGG